CCUACGGGUGGCUGCAGUGAGGAAUCUUCCACAAUGGGCGAAAGCCUGAUGGAGCGACACCGCGUGAAGGAUGAAGGCCUAACGGUUGUAAACUUCUUUUCUGAGGGAGCAUAAUGAGAGUACCUCAGGAAUAAGGGACGGCUAAUCACGUGCCAGCAGCCGCGGUAAUACGUGAGUCUCAAGCGUUACCCGGAAUUAUUGGGUGUAAAGGGUCUGUAGGUGGAUUUUUAAGCCAGGUAUGAAAGACCGGAGCUCAACUUCGUGUUUGUGCUUGAAACUGGAAAUCUAGAAUCAGGGAGAGGUAAGCGGAAUUCUCAGUGUAGGGGUGCAAUCCGUAGAUACUGAGAGGAACACCAAAAGCGAAGGCAGCUUACUGGAACUGUAUUGACACUGAGGGACGAAAGCGUGGGGAGCAAAGAGGAUUAGAUACCCGAGUAGUC
rnacentral:rRNA from 1 species